rnacentral:rRNA from 1 species
CAGGUGCUAAUACCGGAUAAUAAAGCAGAUCGCAUGAUCAGCUUUUGAAAGGCGGCGUAAGCUGUCGCUAAGGGAUGGCCCCGCGGUGCAUUAGCUAGUUGGUAAGGUAACGGCUUACCAAGGCGACGAUGCAUAGCCGAGUUGAGAGACUGAUCGGCCACAUUGGGACUGAGACACGGCCCAAACUCCUACGGGAGGCAGCAGUAGGGAAUCUUCCACAAUGGACGCAAGUCUGAUGGAGCAACGCCGCGUGAGUGAAGAAGGUUUUCGGAUCGUAAAGCUCUGUUGUUGGUGAAGAAGGAUAGAGGUAGUAACUGGCCUUUAUUUGACGGUAAUCAACCAGAAAGUCACGGCUAACUACGUGCCAGCAGCCGCGGUAAUACGUAGGUGGCAAGCGUUGUCCGGAUUUAUUGGGCGUAAAGCGAGCGCAGGCGGAAAAAUAAGUCUAAUGUGAAAGCCCUCGGCUUAACCGAGGAACUGCAUCGGAAACUGUUUUUCUUGAGUGCAGAAGAGGAGAGUGGAACUCCAUGUGUAGCGGUGGAAUGCGUAGAUAUAUGGAAGAACACCAGUGGCGAAGGCGGCUCUCUGGUCUGCAACU